CCUCUGACGCCAUAAAAUUUUAAUUUGUUUAAGAGCACAUCGUGAUCGACGCAGUCAAACGCUUUCGUAAGGUCGUACAGAAGUGCCUUUGAUACGUCGCCAGCAUCGAAACCCCGCACCACACUGUUCACAAAGUGCAUAAGUGCAUGGGUCGUGGAUUUCCCCUCACGAAAGCCAAACUGCGAUUCACACAGAAGUUUAUUUUCCUCAAAAAACAGUGACAGGCGAGCCUUCAGGGCUUUCUCAAUGACUUUACCGAAUAUAGGGGUAAUUGCAAUGGGCCUAAAGUUAUUUGGUAUCCGAAGGAAAUACGCCACUCGAAAACACUGCGUUCGUUAUGGCUGCCAGGGGACCCACGAUGUACUCAAUGGUGUGUUUCAAUAUUUUUGAAUUUAAGCCGAAGCAAUCGGUAGAACUUGAGUUGUUUAGACCCAUAAUAAUGCCAUACAUCUCACUCUCAGAGACCGGGCUUAAGAAGAAAGAUUUACACGGAGAGGGUGUUUUCGUAAGGUACACAUAUGGGUCACUGGAUUUCCCAAUGGAUGAUACUAGGUCAUUUACUACAUUGGAGAAUUAGCAUUAGCCAGUCUAUACUCAGCCCAACUGUCGCGUGGGGAAAAUAUUCGACACUUGGCUUUUAAAAGCAUCACGUGAUCCCUCAUAAGUUUGAGGUCACGAUUGAACCAGACCACGGGGGGACGGAAGGAAUUACUGCGCUUUACGACUUUAAAGUGAUUCUGGAUAUUGGCGGUGAAGAUAUGAAGCAGUUCUUUUGUUGAGUUGGUCGGAUCGGCGUUAGUAUUAAUAAAAGGUUCCCAAUCGGUGCUCUCAAAACUUGUGCAGAGGUUAUUCAGACCCGCCUGGGUAAUUGGUCUGAAUUGAAUAUGGUCAUCGUGCACAGAGGAAACAUCAAAGUGUAAUUCCAUAAAAACAGCGGAAUGAUCAGAGAGUGCUGGAUCCUCACUGCCCGCAGUGAACAGAGUGGGGGAUAUAUUGACAAGGAAAUUAUCAAUGCAACUUGACGUAGUUUCAGUUAUACGGGUAUGGUCAGCGACACUAGGGGAGAUUCCAAAGGUGGCAAAGUAGAGGUCAUUUAAAAGAAGUUCUAGCCUGGAUAUAAAUAGAUAAGGGUCGCCGUGGCUCCCCGAUCUAUAUACAUUGAUAACUACAGUAUUUUUGUGGGUUAAUUCAAUGCCGCAAAAUUCGGCAUGGAUGUCUAGUGAGUAUUUAUCUAAAUCUAAAGUUCUACAGUUGACUUUGUGUUUGCUAUAAAUUGAUACGCCCCCUCUGACCGCAGUCUGACGGCAUCGAAAGCUUUUCAAUAGAAAAUUAUUUACACAUAUUGAUUUUAAAAGUUCUUCAUCACAGACAAAGUGUUCAGAUAGACAGAGAAUAUCUACAUUUUUAUCCAGCAAAUAACCGUUGAAGUACCUUUAUUACUUGGGUUGCUGCCCCGAAGCACGCCGACCGAAAAAACGAUUCACGAGCACUCCAGUGGGCCAAAUGGAAGGAUUAAGAAUCUUCUCUGAGUCAGCGUCCAACACCGUGCACUUGAAAGAUGCAUAACUUUCAGGGAACAUGGAUCGAAUUUGCUCCACUUGAACCUCCGCAACCAUAGUCGUCGGAUGCAUCUUGGAGAUGUGGAACUGUGUCCUUCUGGUUGCUACCUGUAACUUACAGGACGCAGGGUCUUUAAGACUGCCCACUAUCGGCUGAGGUCUGGAAGUGAGCUUGGGACGAGGUGGUCUCUCCACUUUUGUUUGGGGUGGACGGAGAUCACUGGCAGGACCGGAACCAGGAACAAGGUUGUCGCUGGAGGUCAAGCUGAUGAUCUCGCUGCACUUAUUCCGCACUGUAGCCUCGUGUAGAGCACCACCAACAGU